AUCACUUGGACCUUGUCUGGGGAGGGGUGGGAUCUUGGGAUCUUUUUGCCUGCAAGUCCCCCCGCCCCCCCCGCGGUGAAGGAUUUGAGGCUGGGCUCCAAUCGAGGCGGAGGCUGCAGGGCCCGCGGGCGCCCCCCGCCCCGCGCACGCCUCCCGGGAGCCCAGGAAGGCGCAGCCCCGGGGGGCCCCCUGCGCCCCCGGAGCAGGCAGCGGCGAUUUUAUUUAUUCAUGAGAGAGACAGAGAGAGAGAGGCAGAGACAGAGGCAGAGGAAGAAGCAGGCUCCAUGCCGGGAGCCCGACAUGGGACUCAAUCCUGGGACUCCAGGAUCACGCCCUGGGCCAAAGGCAGGUGCUAAACUGCUGAGCCACCCAGGGAUCCCGAUAUGUGCAUUUUUAAAUUUCUGCAGCGACUGCCCAGUGCCCAUCCAGAGGGCCUGGGUGGGGGAGUCUAUUUCCAUGCCCUCGCCUGCCCCAUCAAGGACACAAUGUGUCAGGGGAAGCAAGUCCUAGACGAGUUGCAGAUAAACCUGCCAGUAAUUUUCGCGAAUGAGCCGUGGAACACAUAAAGGCCAGAGGAUGGAAAACGCUCCGGGUUUGAUAAAAGGAGUUCUUGGCUCCGAAUCCUCGCUCCUGCUAGCCCCGCCGAGAUCCACCCGGAGAGGGCCUGAUGGAUUGAGGAAAACGAAAUGAGACCAACGUGAGUCUCCUUUCAAGGGCUGUGCUAAUAUAAAACCAAACGACUUGAAAUUGUUCCAAGAGGGGAUUAAAGCAACAUGUUAUUUUGA